rnacentral:rRNA from 1 species
AUGAACGCUAGCUACAGGCUUAACACAUGCAAGUCGAGGGGCAGCAUGAACUUAGCUUGCUAAGUUUGAUGGCGACCGGCGCACGGGUGAGUAACACGUAUCCAACCUGCCGAUGACUCGGGGAUAGCCUUUCGAAAGAAAGAUUAAUACCCGAUGGCAUAGUUCUUCCGCAUGGUAGAACUAUUAAAGAAUUUCGGUCAUCGAUGGGGAUGCGUUCCAUUAGGUUGUUGGCGGGGUAACGGCCCACCAAGCCUUCGAUGGAUAGGGGUUCUGAGAGGAAGGUCCCCCACAUUGGAACUGAGACACGGUCCAAACUCCUACGGGAGGCAGCAGUGAGGAAUAUUGGUCAAUGGACGAGAGUCUGAACCAGCCAAGUAGCGUGAAGGAUGACUGCCCUAUGGGUUGUAAACUUCUUUUAUACGGGAAUAAAGUGAGGCACGUGUGCCUUUUUGUAUGUACCGUAUGAAUAAGGAUCGGCUAACUCCGUGCCAGCAGCCGCGGUAAUACGGAGGAUCCGAGCGUUAUCCGGAUUUAUUGGGUUUAAAGGGAGCGUAGGCGGACGCUUAAGUCAGUUGUGAAAGUUUGCGGCUCAACCGUAAAAUUGCAGUUGAUACUGGGUGUCUUGAGUACAGUAGAGGCAGGCGGAAUUCGUGGUGUAGCGGUGAAAUGCUUAGAUAUCACGAAGAACUCCGAUUGCGAAGGCAGCUUGCUGGACUGUAACUGACGCUGAUGCUCGAAAGUGUGGGUAUCAAACAGGAUUAGAUACCCUGGUAGUCCACACAGUAAACGAUGAAUACUCGCUGUUUGCGAUAUACAGUAAGCGGCCAAGCGAAAGCGUUAAGUAUUCCACCUGGGGAGUACGCCGGCAACGGUGAAACUCAAAGGAAUUGACGGGGGCCCGCACAAGCGGUGGAGUAUGUGGUUUAAUUCGACGCAACGCGAAGAACCUUACCAGGCCUUGACAUCCCUUGCAGAGGUAUAGAGAUAUAUCCGAGGUUAUCAAGGAGACAGGUGGUGCAUGGUUGUCGUCAGCUCGUGUCGUGAGAUGUUGGGUUAAGUCCCGCAACGAGCGCAACCCUUGCUAUUAGUUGCUACGCAAGAGCACUCUAAUAGGACUGCCGUUGACAAAACGGAGGAAGGUGGGGACGACGUCAAAUCAUCAUGCCCCUUAUGACCUGGGCUACACACGUACUACAAUGGCUAUAACAAAGAGAAGCGAGACAGUGAUGUGGAGCAAAACUCAAAAAAAUAGUCUCAGUUCGGAUUGAAGGCUGAAAUUCGCCUUCAUGAAGCUGGAAUUGCUAGUAAUGGCAGGUCAGCAUACUGCCGUGAAUACGUUCCCGGGCCUUGUACACACCGCCCGUCACACCAUGAGAGUUGGAAAUACCCGAAGCCUGUGAGCCAACUGUAAAGAGGCAGCAGUCGAAGGUAGAAUCAAUGAUUGAGGUG